rnacentral:rRNA from 1 species
CAGCAGCCGCGGUAAUACAGAGGGUGCAAGCGUUAAUCGGAAUUACUGGGCGUAAAGCGCGCGUAGGUGGUUUGUUAAGUUGGAUGUGAAAUCCCCGGGCUCAACCUGGGAACUGCAUCCAAAACUGGCAGGCUAGAGUAGGGCAGAGGGUGGUGGAAUUUCCUGUGUAGCGGUGAAAUGCGUAGAUAUAGGAAGGAUCACCAGUGGCGAAGGCGACCACCUGGGCUCAUACUGACACUGAGGUGCGAAAGCGUGGGGAGCAAACAGGAUUAGAUACCCCCGUAGUCCCUGUCUCUUAUAC